rnacentral:rRNA from 1 species
UACGUAGGGUGCAAGCGUUAAUCGGAAUUACUGGGCGUAAAGCGUGCGCAGGCGGUUAUGUAAGACAGGUGUGAAAUCCCCGGGCUUAACCUGGGAAUUGCAUUUGUGACUGCCCGGCUAGAGUGUGUCAGAGGGGGGUGGAAUUCCACGUGUAGCAGUGAAAUGCGUAGAUAUGUGGAGGAAUACCGAUGGCGAAGGCAGCCCCCUGGGAUAACACUGACGCUCAUGCACGAAAGCGUGGGGAGCAAACAGG